AAGAGUAGGCGCAGCGGUUGCGGAACAGUUUUAGUCACUGUUCUGAGGAAAGUCCGGACUCCCGAAAGACCAAACUUGCUGGGUAACGCCCAGUGCGGGCGACCGUGAGGAUAGUGCCACAGAAACAUACCGCCGCUAAAGAGUUAUGAGUUAUGAGUGCUGAGUUUUGAGUUACUAAUUCAAAAUUCAAAAUUCAAAAUUCAAAACUUUGCGGUAAGGGUGCAAAGGUGCGGUAAGAGCGCACCAGCAGCGUCGAGAGGCGCUGGCUCGGUAAACCCCGGUUGGGAGCAAGGUCGUAGGAACUAUGGUUGGUCUUUUACCAGUUCCGCUGAUUGUGAACCGCUAGAGGCGUCUGGUAACAGGCGUCCCAGAUAGAUAACUGCACUUCGCUAACAACAUUGUUGUUAGGAAGGAACAGAACCCGGCUUAUGUCUUACUCUUUCCC
rnacentral:RNase_P_RNA from 1 species